UACUCGAGUGGCGAACGGGUGAGUAACACGUGGGUGAUCUGCCCUGCACUUCGGGAUAAGCUUGGGAAACUGGGUCUAAUACCGGAUAGGAGCCAUCUUUAGUGUGGUGGUUGGAAAGUUUUUUCGGUUGUAGGAUGAGCUCGCGGCCUAUCAGCUUGUUGGUGGGGUAAUGGCCUACCAAGGCGGCGACGGGUAGCCGGCCUGAGAGGGUGUACGGCCACAUUGGGACUGAGAUACGGCCCAG
rnacentral:rRNA from 1 species